UGGAACAGGGCAGGGAUGGAGGGAAGGUCCUUGUAUCUUAGACGUCAAACGCCCAGGAAAAUAAUUAGGAGGUGUUUGGGAUUCUGCUGAAAACCCUGACAACAGACCAGAAAUAUCUCCAAGAGCACCAGCAACCCCAGCUAUCUGGACCUGAAGUGGAUAUGUUCAGAGGCAUCCUGGCCCACCCCACCCUGACCCCAGAGAAGAUGCUGCCGCACUCAGAAGAUGCCAGAGCCAGCCACACUGCAAGUCCGGAAGGAUCAAGCAAGGCAGCCUGCUCAGUGAAGGCUUCCUCUCCUGUAGCAGGAAGAGCAACGUUAAGAACAAAUACGCCAGGCUGGACUACCCUGGAGAUGUAAUGACCAGACGUGAGACCCCAGAGACCAGAGUGACUAUGGAGGACUGUCGUCACCUUGUUCCUGACCGUCUAAUGCCUCUCAGCUCCAGGAGGCCACUGAG